GACGAACGCUGGCGGCGUGCUUAACACAUGCAAGUCGAACGGAAAGGCCCUGCUUUUGUGGGGUGCUCGAGUGGCGAACGGGUGAGUAACACGUGAGUAACCUGCCCUUGACUUUGGGAUAACUUCAGGAAACUGGGGCUAAUACCGGAUAGGAGCUCCUGCUGCAUGGUGGGGGUUGGAAAGUUUCGGCGGUUGGGGAUGGACUCGCGGCUUAUCAGCUUGUUGGUGGGGUAGUGGCUUACCAAGGCUUUGACGGGUAGCCGGCCUGAGAGGGUGACCGGCCACAUUGGGACUGAGAUACGGCCCAGACUCCUACGGGAGGCAGCAGUAGGGAAUAUUGCACAAUGGGCGGAAGCCUGAUGCAGCAACGCCGCGUGCGGGAUGACGGCCUUCGGGUUGUAAACCGCUUUCGCCUGUGACGAAGCGUGGGUGACGGUAAUGGAUAAAGAAGCACCGGCUAACUACGUG
rnacentral:rRNA from 1 species